AUCCAGCUGACGAGUUCGAAAAGGGACGAAACGCUCGUCCUGGAU
rfam:Schistosoma haematobium scaffold274_35, whole genome shotgun sequence.